CUGUUUCUACCUGUUGUGGCGAAAUAAAAUGGAUGUGUGUAUCAAUACCACCUGCAGUUAAGAUAUGUCCCGCACCUCCAUGCACCUCUGUAGACCCGCCGAUCACCAUGCCUUUGGUAAUACCAUCUUGAACAUCCGGGUUACCCGCUUUACCUAUACCCACGAUCUUACCGUCUUUAAUACCGAUAUCACCUUUCACAAUACCCCAGUGAUCGAUGAUAAUUACAUUGGUGAUACAGAAAUCCAGUACAUCUUCAUCGCGCAUCGCACGGGCAGAUUGGCCCAUACCAUCACGG
rnacentral:sRNA from 1 species